AGAGUUUGAUCCUGGCUCAGGAUGAACGCUAGCGGGAGGCCUAACACAUGCAAGCCGAGCGGUAUUGUUUCUUCGGAAAUGAGAGAGCGGCGUACGGGUGCGGAACACGUGUGCAACCUGCCUUUAUCUGGGGGAUAGCCUUUCGAAAGGAAGAUUAAUACUCCAUAAUAUAUUGAACGGCAUCGUUUAAUAUUGAAAGCUCCGGCGGAUAGAGAUGGGCACGCGCAAGAUUAGCUAGUUGGUGAGGUAACGGCUCACCAAGGCAAUGAUCUUUAGGGGCCUGAGAGGGUGAUCCCCCACACUGGUACUGAGACACGGACCAGACUCCUACGGGAGGCAGCAGUGAGGAAUAUUGGUCAAUGGGUGCAAGCCUGAACCAGCCAUCCCGCGUGAAGGACGACUGCCCUAUGGGUUGUAAACUUCUUUUGUAUAGGGAUAAACCUACUCUCGUGAGGGUAGCUGAAGGUACUAUACGAAUAAGCACCGGCUAACUCCGUG
rnacentral:rRNA from 1 species